AGAGAGGAAGAAGGGAAUGGAAGGCAAGCAGUUACCUGUGGUCAACUGGGGUCAGGGAGUAGAUGAUCUUCUUUGUGACGUGUUGUUAGAAGGUCAGCACGAAGCAGCCUCACGCUACGUCACAGUGCCUCCACCGUUCGGCCCACCUCCCAUCACGUAGGCAUUUUAUCAUCUCAUGAGGAGAAGGCUAAGAGAAGCAAGGAAGGUUUGGAAGCCCAGCACCAAGAAUGUUACCUGCAAUAUAGCGAAUCUCAGUGCCUGAUCUAGGGGAGGUACAUGGAACAGCAGAUAAAUGAAUGGAGAAGAUAAAUGAAUGAAUAGUGGAGAAGCAGCAGGGAGAGUACUCAAAGAGGAGGGGCUCAGAAGUCUCUGGACUAGGAAACUGAAUACAGUAACAGAGCAAUUUCAAU